UACGUAGGCAGCGAGCGUUGUUCGGAGUUACUGGGCGUAAAGGGUGUGUAGGCGGUUCUUUAAGUUUGGUGUGAAAUCUCCCGGCUCAACUGGGAGGGUGCGCCGAAUACUGAGGGACUAGAGUGCGGGAGAGGAAAGUGGAAUUCCUGGUGUAGCGGUGAAAUGCGUAGAUAUCAGGAGGAACACCGGUGGUGGAGACGGCUUUCUGGACCGUAACUGACGCUGAGACGCGAAAGCGUGGGGAGCGAACAGG
rnacentral:rRNA from 1 species